CUUUCAAAGUGAUAUAUCAUGAUAAAUUAACUCAUAGUUUUGAGUGACAAAAUAUUUUAAGGUAGGGUCUGGGGGUGUGGGUCAGUGUAGAGUACUUGCUUAGAUUGCAUGAGGUUCUAGGUUCACUCCACAGUACACACACACACACACACACACACACACACACACACACGAAGGAAAAGCUUGCCUUGGAUUCUUACCACUACAACAUUGAAAAUAGCUAACCGUUCCUCACUUUUAUCUGUCACCUACUUCUCUGACUAUUCCUUACCUUUAAACAUCAAACUUUUAAACAAAUUUUUGAAUUUUUCCAUUUUGAAAACAUGCGUUACUUUUUUAUCAGAAAGUUGUGUUGAAAAUACAUUGAUUCAUCAAGUUGCUAGCCUUUCUGUCUUCAUUUACAUCGAUACUUAUAAAUCUUGACUGUACUCCACCUGUUACUAUGCAAACUAUUAGAAUCUAGUACCAAUAGAGUUGUACUGACAGCCAUAGCGACAUGAAGAGCUAAAUUUGUUCACUUCUCAGAAAUACCUAAUUUAUUCUAGAAGCUACAAGUAUUUAAAUUUGCCUCAACUUUACUUUCAGAAACAUUUUCACCUCUCUUAUCUGAUUUCACAUGUAUAAUUUUUGUGGCACUAUCUACAAAAAUGUAGGAAGAAUAUACACCCUCAUUUCUGCUUGGUAAAAUCAUUUCAAGGGAUCUAAGUAUCAAGGGUCAACGAGGAAUGCCCACUUCGGCAGCUCACAUGCUAAAAUUGGAGCGGUAAGAUUAGCAUGGCCUCUGCGCAAGGAUGACAUGCAAAUUCGCUAAGCGUUCUGUGUUUUUCAACUGCCAGCAGGUAAGAUCCACAGAUGCAAUGACCCCCAGGGGAAACAAUGCGUACUGCCCCUAGUCCACGGGCUGGUCCCAUCCUGCCCAUAGCGAGGUGCCCCACAGUGAGACAGCACACUAAGUUCCGAGCUGGUAGGAGCUUUGGCCUGGAAGAGCUCAGGGUGCCUUGGACCACUGGCAUCUCUGUGGACCCAAAUCCACUAAAUCCCCACAGGCCAAUGUGCAGUGGCUGAUGGAGUACCGCUCCAACUUCAUCCUCUCCCCCAGGAAGUCUUUGGCCCCUGGAGAAGAGAGACACCUCUGCUGAAGCACUGAAAUUAGCCACCCAGGUAACAGGACCAGUGAUGUCCAUCUGGGCAGUCUACAAAAAGCAGAAAGCCAUCAAAGAGGAAGAGAAGAAUUUAUAGGCGUUUACCACUCUUUGGUGGCCCAUGCCAAUGCCUAACUCUUUGGCAUCGGGCAGAGGGCCAAGGAAGCUGCAGAGCAAGAUGGUGAAAAGCAAAAGUAAUACUCUUGUGAUUGACUACUGUUCCUUUGACAAAGGAGGGUGAGAUUCCCAGUAAGCAUCACAACGUAUCUGAAGAUUAUUGUGGGUGAAAGGAGCCAACUCAGUGAGGCACCAAAGCUUCCCUCGAAGGCAAUCUUGGUAAUGGUGAUUUCCAAGUAAUGGUUUCCAACAAGAGGCUUGCUGAAUCACAUUCAUUGACCUAAGGACCCAGGAGGAUCUUGUGGAAGACUGACCUACGUGGUCUUACAAACACAAACAGGAGAGUAGAGCUGUGUUGAGCACUAGGAUGGCAAACAAGAGGAUGAAAGCAGUCAGUACUUAUUGUAUAUUUAAGUGCUGCAUUGCUAGGGUGGAGAAGAGGCCGGUGGUGAAUGAUUUACUUCUCUGCUGCCCUGUGCGUUUCUUCAGGUAAACUGUGGUUCUCCACUCUUCUAAACUUGACAAAGAAAAGUCAGUGCAGUUGUCCAGGUAGGUUCCCUCCCUGUCUUAGAUGAAAGAACUCGAAACUCAGUAACCCAAAGCAGACUUUAUAAUCUGAUGACCAGGACUAUUUAUCCAACUAAACUAAGCCAUAGUUGAAGUUUAAAAAAACAAGAACUGAAAACCAGCGCCACUAACUGCGCUGAGGUGUCAGCGUGGAGGGCAGGUAAGGUAGAUUAAUAACAGGCCACUCCUAAGAAGGUUUAGGCUCUUACUGUCAGAGGGUAAUAAUUAAUGAUCAAGUGUUAAUGGAGAUACUGGGCUGUUGAUGUCAUUAAUUCAGCUCAGUGGAGCCCGUUCUGCCCAGGACCUGCCACAGCUGUCACUGCAUUUGCUUAAUUAUUCCAGUGCCUUCGGGCUCUUUUCCUUUCAAUUUUUUUCCUUUACCCUUUUCCCUUCCUAUCUAUAGGACUUUAUGUUUUCACUGACACAAAAUUAUGAAGAGCUCCUGGUCCCUGGGCAGCGCCAAGCCAAAAAUACAUGGAAACCCAAAGGCAACGAAGGAGAUCGGAACUUUUUUCUUAGAAGAAAAGAUGGAAAAUGCUGAAGAAAGGCCAUCUUUAAAAGGCCUGAUUGUGCUGAUUUAAUUUUGGGGUUCUUUAAGGAUUUGUAUGCUGAGAGUGAACCCUGGGCUGUGUAAAAUGUCAAAGUGCUCACCCUCUCCCACAAUCUAACAAAGAUAAUACAGAAAAAGUGGCUCAAGAGUGUUGGUAAAACAUUAAGGCUGCACAAUCAUCCAUCCAUAAGGGGACCAGAAAGUUAGCUUUGCUGGGCAAAUUGAGGCAAGGCAACACAGGGUGAGGGAAAUGCCACUGCGUCUGUGGGAGCUGUGAAUGUGCCCGCUGUGCUUCCGGAGCCUCUUGCGUUAGCUUUGCUUCUCUCUUGUCAAUUGCACCGCUUUGAGUUUAGAGAAAACCACUUUUCUGCUUUCUAAAUAUUAUUUGGAUCUUUCUCUCCUGGGUUGGCCCAGUUAUCACCAAAGUUUUCACUUUCUCACUUACUGAUUGGAAUGGUGUAUUUAUUCAUUUUAUAUUUUGUGUUUUCCGGUUUUCAAAUUGUGUAAUUCAAAAAACCCGAUUCUUGUUUUUUAGACACAUUUCUACUUCUGAUGAGUCAAAGUAAUCCAUGCUUCUUGAGCAUCCAGAGGAGAACACUGCUUGACUCACUUCCAAACUCAAAUACUUAAAAAUGUGAGGCACGACAAGGAUUUUAAAUCUCUUUGCACUGUACAUGGCUAUUUAAAAUAAUUGAAGCUCUUCAAAUUUUUAUAUGUGCUCAAAUUCGGAAGCGAUCAGUUCUGAGCAUGUGCAGGUCACAAUGAUUUAAAGUCAUUAGAGUCUCCUCAAUUUACCCUAAGUGUUUCAGCUUGAGAGUGACAGAGGAACCUGGACUGUGACGGUGACAAUGAUUUAACAUUGUCAUUGCUCUCAGAUGGAAUGCAGGUGAUUGAAAUUAUGGACCCUUGUGUACAUUUUAUAAAAUCACUGUUAAAAUGACUCAUAUUUUUAGGCCCCAAAGAUAUUAUUAGCUACCAGAAAACACAUUUAACUAAACCACUUAAAAAUGUACCAUAGCAUAAUUUUACUGUCAUAGUCCCAUUGAUGACCUGAUUGUAACCACAGCUUUAAAGCCAAAUGGUCAAAUUUGGCAUGAAAAACAAUGGUUGUCUUCUAGGCCAAGCCUGGAGAAAUAAGUGUUCAGUAAAAACACCUGAUGCACUCUGGUGACAUCAGAGUCUGCGUACACAAAUUAUGCUUUUUUUUGCUCUAAAUAAGAGGGAGGCUUUUUGGAGUAUUGCAUGAAUUAUGUCUUCUCACAUAGUUUAUUUAAACAUCUUAAAUAAGGCACUUUUAUUAAAGAUUAUUUAACAAAAAAGGUCACAUUAUAGUAUCUUCUAGAUGAAAUAUAUCUUCAUGCCAUAAUACACCUUUUGCUCUGAGGGAAUCUGAACCAAAUGCAAAGGUAUAUAAUUAGGAAACACACCAGCUGGAUGAUUUAUUUGACCACUGAAGGUCAUUCAGCAUCCUCUGGUCUUUACCAAAGGGUAGUCCCAGAGCAGAAACACUGAAAUGUUGCUGAGUGUCAUGAUGCCAAGAGUCUAACAUGGAAGGCAGAUGUAUAGUUCAAAAGUUAAUAUUAUAUAGGAAAAAAUCCAGUCAUUAAGAAUUCAGCUCAAAUUCCUAACAUGUUUUAUUUGGGCCUCUGAAAGCACAUCGAUGCUGUUUUGCUUGAUUUAAAUGAAAGUGACAAAGGUGAGAUUCCAGCUUAUCUCUCAGUCACUUCCUGUCCUCAGUAAAUGUUUUCAUUUUGAUAAAAAUUAGGAUAAGUUGAUCAUGGAUUGGAUUUAAAAAAAAACAAAACCCAAAACCUGGAGUUGGAGUUUGAAAGAUUCUGGCUCAUGAAAACAAUCUGAUCUUAGGAACCAGCUUUAUAAAAACUCCAUGUUUUUAUUAGAGCAGAAAUUCAAGAGAAUUAGAAAUAGAAAAUGCUAAUAUUAGAAAGUAUGUUGCAUUUGGGAUUUCCGUCGCACUAGGGAUUGAGAGCCCUGAACUAUGAAAACUCCCACAUUUGGUAUAGAAGUCAACUCUUGUACUAAUUAUUUUAAACAAUAAUUAUAUUUUUUAUUUAUUUUAAUGUAAUAGACAUGUACAAAUCUUAGUUUUAGCAUUGUAAGAUUGUUAGCAUAAGAAAAUGUUAUAAUAAAUAAAAGAUUAAAUAAAAUUGUUGUCAAGAUCACAAAUCUAUAGAUAAAUGCAUAUUUAAAACAUAGCUAAGUAGUUAUAGAUAUCAGGAGAAUGACAAGAUUUGAACAAUUGACAAUAAUUUGCAACAUAGAUGAAUUAAGUAGAACUCAUGCUUAAAGGUGAUCAAUAUAGAAAAAUACUUCAAAAUACUUACUUUUCUUAAUGUAUGUAUUGAAUUUUAUUAUUAGUUUGAAACUUUGAAAGUUUUCCUUGUGUUCAUGUGUUUUCAGUCUCCACUAUUACUUUGCUGUUGAAUUUUGAUAGGCGUAUGAACCUAAGAAAGUUUGUUCAAUUAUUUGUGCCUGUGCUAAAUGAAGAAUAUGUCAGUGCACUAGUGUUUUGCUGCUCAGUAGUUGAACCAAGCCUUACUUAGGUUUCAGGUAGAAUAAGCACAGUCUUUGCUGAUCCCAUGAGAAUGCCUGGAGAUCAUGGAGUACAAAGCAUGGUUGCACUAACACAUCGUCCUUGUCCUCAGCUAGGUCUGCUUUGGAGCCCUUGGGAACUAGAAAUGUUAUUUUGAAUGACUAAGUUGCUGUGUGUGUUUAAAUUCUAG